GUUCAUGACUGGGGUGAAGUCGUAACAAGGUAGCGCUAGGGGAACCUGGCGCUGGAUGCACCUCCUUAAACGA
rnacentral:rRNA from 1 species